GAGUUGUCAGGUGUUACAUGAGUUCCUACACUAUUUUUCUAUGCAGGUUAUAGAAAACUGAUAAUUCACUUGAUUAUUGCAAUUAAAAUGUGAUAUUAAUUUUCUACAAUGUGUAUCUGAAUUAUAUAUUGAAGCGUUGGUGUUAUAUAACAGUACUCACAUCGAAAAUUUCUCUCUUUGUUAUAUAAUUUAAUUUAAUUUUUAUAUUUUUAGAUAAAUUUGAUAGAACUUAAGGACCCUUUAUAAAAAAAUUUAUGAAAAAAAUGGAUAAAGAAGACCAAAUGAAAUAAACAAAAAGCAAAAAAAAAAAAACAGUAUCCAGGCCCAGUUCAUUAAGAGAAUUGGCUAGGGCUUUAUAAAUUUUUCUUACAAAGAAUUGCUUCUUUCUUAUCCUCCUAUUGUCUUCGCAUACUUUCUACAUUCCUUGUCUCCUCGUCCAUCUCCACAAAUUAACAUUGCCCUGGUUUUCCAUUUCUUUAGGUUGUGGGUGAAUCACACCUACCUCCGAUAUCUUCUAUUCUUUCUCCGUUCACAGAAAGGUAUCUUUCAGUGGAUGUAGUGGUUUCGAAGAUAAUUUUGAAAGAGGUACCAUGUCAUGAGGGUUAUUGAAGACAUCCUUUAUUCUGAGCCGGGAAGAGGUAGUUAUGGUGGUCUUCGUUGCUAGCAGAGUACUCGAAUUUUUGAGGUCCAGUCCUUGAAGGGAUUUUGAAGAAGACUCGAAGAAGACUUCGAUUACUUAAUCAUCCAAGUAAGGAAAUGAAUACUCGAAGUAAUGCGGCACGAAGACUAGAUGCAGAGAUUUCCAAUGUGGGAGAUCCUCCCUGUGGUGAUCAAGUCCCUCCUCUUGACGAAGAUAUGAAUGAUGACCAAGCUUUGGUAGAUCCUCGUUUGACGGAUGGUUCCAUCCGGGCUAAUCUUUUCCAAAUGUCCCAAGCCAUUACUACCCAAUCAUAAGUCGCCACUACUAAAGCUAAAUAUGUUGGCCCAAGCUAAUCGGGAGGUAGUACCCUGAGCAAACCAACAAGUUGCUGCCCUAGCCUCCCAACUAAGGGUCUUCAAUAGGAUGAAUUCCCCUACUUUCUGUUGGUUCAAGGUUGAAGAAUACCCCCAAGAGUUCAUUGACGAAAUCUAUAAGAUCCUCAUGCUACGGGUCUAGUUACUAGUGAGAAGGCUGAGUUAGCCACUUCUAGCUCAAAGAUCUGACCCAAACUUGGUAUGUCCAAUGGAGGGAUAAUAGGUUGUUAAGGGGUGGACCGGUGACUUGGGAAGUGUUCAAGAAGGCUUUUCUUGAUAGAUUCUUUCCCAUGGAGAAGAGUUAAGCUAAUGUGGUGGAGUUUAUCAACCUUCGUCAAAGAGGUAUGAAUGAGAUUGAAUACUCCUUGAAAUUCACAAAAUUGUGAAAAUAUGCUCCUUAUUUGGUUUCCGACCAUAGAGAUGAAAUGAACCGCUUUGUGACGGGAGUGUCAGAAGACUUGCAAGAUUAUUGUCAUUCGGCUAUGUUACAUGACACUAUGAACAUUUCUCUUCUCAUGGUUCAUUUUCAACAAGUGGAGGAGGAAAGGGCUAAGAAGAAGAGUAGGGAUGCCAAGAGGGUGAGAUCUUUUAAAUGUGAUUCUUCAAAGGGAAGGCUUGAGAUUCAAUACAAUCCUAGGUUUAAGAAGAGGGUUUCAAAUCAAGUUCCCUAAGGUUAGGGAUGAUAAGGUAUCAAACCCUUAGACUAAAAAUGGAAGAGAUAAUAGUUCACUGAACAAGAAGCCUACUUGUGCAAAGUGUGGAAAGGGUCAUCUUCGUAAAUGCGUAGUUCGAAUGGGAAUUUGAUUUGGUUGUGGCAAGAGUGUCCACAUGGUUAGGGUUUACCCUAAUGUGAAGGUUUAAGAAAAGGGUAGUGGUCAAGCUCAACCAAGUGGUUCGAAUGAAGCUCCAAAGAAAAAUUAUUUUUAUGCUCUACGCUCUAAGGGUGAGCAAGAGACUUCUCCCAACGUGGUGACAUGAAAGUC